rnacentral:rRNA from 1 species
UACGGGGGGGGCAAGCGUUGUUCGGAAUUACUGGGCGUAAAGGGCGCGUAGGCGACCUGCUAAGUCACACGUGAAAUCCCUCGGCUCAACCGGGGAACUGCGUGUGAUACUGGCGGGCCUGAAUUCGGGAGAGGGAUGUGGAAUUCCAGGUGUAGCGGUGAAAUGCGUAGAUAUCUGGAGGAACACCGGUGGCGAAGGCGGCAUCCUGGACCGAGAUUGACGCUGAGGCGCGAAAGCUAGGGUAGCAAACGGG